AGAAAAUUAGUUAAUUAGAUAAUAAUGGAUUGUCAAACCAUAGUAACUGGUUUAACCCCAGUAUUUUCUG
rnacentral:tRNA from 1 species